rfam:Picea glauca, whole genome shotgun sequence.
UCGUAUGAACAUGCCUACAAUGUUAAUGCACCAGAUCCCAAUGGAACUCCACAUUUAAGUGUGCAUGGGAAAGAGUGGUACUAGGAUGGGUGACCUCUUGGGAAUUCCUUGUGUUUUACAUGCC